rnacentral:rRNA from 1 species
AGAGUUUGAUCCUGGCUCAGGAUGAACGCUAGCUACAGGCUUAACACAUGCAAGUCGAGGGGCAGCAUGGUCUUAGCUUGCUAAGGCCGAUGGCGACCGGCGCACGGGUGAGUAACACGUAUCCAACCUGCCGUCUACUCUUGGACAGCCUUCUGAAAGGAAGAUUAAUACAAGAUGGCAUCAUGAGUCCGCAUGUUCACAUGAUUAAAGGUAUUCCGGUAGACGAUGGGGAUGCGUUCCAUUAGAUAGUAGGCGGGGUAACGGCCCACCUAGUCUUCGAUGGAUAGGGGUUCUGAGAGGAAGGUCCCCCACAUUGGAACUGAGACACGGUCCAAACUCCUACGGGAGGCAGCAGUGAGGAAUAUUGGUCAAUGGUCGGCAGACUGAACCAGCCAAGUCGCGUGAGGGAAGACGGCCCUACGGGUUGUAAACCUCUUUUGUCGGAGAGUAAAGUACGCUACGAGUAGUGUAUUGCAAGUAUCCGAAGAAAAAGCAUCGGCUAACUCCGUGCCAGCAGCCGCGGUAAUACGGAGGAUGCGAGCGUUAUCCGGAUUUAUUGGGUUUAAAGGGUGCGUAGGCGGCACGCCAAGUCAGCGGUGAAAUUUUCGGGCUCAACCCGGACUGUGCCGUUGAAACUGGCGAGCUAGAGUGCACAAGAGGCAGGCGGAAUGCGUGGUGUAGCGGUGAAAUGCAUAGAUAUCACGCAGAACCCCGAUUGCGAAGGCAGCCUGCUAGGGUGCGACAGACGCUGAGGCACGAAAGCGUGGGUAUCGAACAGGAUUAGAUACCCUGGUAGUCCACGCAGUAAACGAUGAAUACUAACUGUUUGCGAUACAAUGUAAGCGGUACAGCGAAAGCGUUAAGUAUUCCACCUGGGGAGUACGCCGGCAACGGUGAAACUCAAAGGAAUUGACGGGGGCCCGCACAAGCGGAGGAACAUGUGGUUUAA